rnacentral:rRNA from 1 species
GGCUCAGGAUAAACGCUGGCGGCGUGCCUUACGCAUGCAAGUCGAACGAAGCCCUCCGCUUCGGCGGGGGUGACUGAGUGGCAAACGGCUGAGUAACGCGUAGGUGAUCUGUCCCGAGGAGGGGAACAACCCGUGGAAACGCGGGCUAAUGCCCCAUACGCCCACCGGAUCGGACCGGUGGGGAAAUGUUCCGGCGCCUUGGGAGGAGCCUGCGUCCGAUUAGCUGGUUGGUGGGGUAACGGCCUACCAAGGCGACGAUCGGUAGCUGGUCUGAGAGGAUGAUCAGCCAGACUGGGACUGAGACACGGCCCAGACUCCUACGGGAGGCAGCAGCGAGGAAUCUUGCGCAAUGGGCGAAAGCCUGACGCAGCAACGCCGCGUGGGUGAUGAAGGCCUUCGGGUUGUAAAUCCCUUUUGCCGGGGAAGAACUUUGACGGUACCCGGCGAAAUAAGCCACGGGCUAACUAAC